rnacentral:rRNA from 1 species
CCUACGGGAGGCUGCAGUGGGGAAUAUUGGACAAUGGGCGAAAGCCUGAUCCAGCAAUGCCGCGUGAGUGAUGAAGGCCUUAGGGUUGUAAAGCUCUUUUACCCGGGAUGAUAAUGACAGUACCGGGAGAAUAAGCCCCGGCUAACUCCGUGCCAGCAGCCGCGGUAAUACGGAGGGGGCUAGCGUUGUUCGGAAUUACUGGGCGUAAAGCGCGCGUAGGCGGCUUUGUAAGUUAGAGGUGAAAGCCCGGAGCUCAACUCCGGAACUGCCUUUAAGACUGCAUCGCUAGAAUCAUGGAGAGGUGAGUGGAAUUCCGAGUGUAGAGGUGAAAUUCGUAGAUAUUCGGAAGAACACCAGUGGCGAAGGCGACUCACUGGACAUGUAUUGACGCUGAGGUGCGAAAGCGUGGGGAGCAAACAGGAUUAGAUACCCUUGUAGUC